rnacentral:rRNA from 1 species
UCCAGACUCCUACGGGAGGCAGCAGUGAGGAAUAUUGGUCAAUGGGCGGGAGCCUGAACCAGCCAAGUCGCGUGAGGGAAGAAGGUACUGAGUAUUGUAAACCUCUUUUGCCAGGGGACAAAGGCGGCCACGGGUGGCCGUAAGAGGGUACCUGGAGAAAAAGCAUCGGCUAACUCCGUGCCAGCAGCCGCGGUAAUACGGAGGAUGCGAGCGUUAUCCGGAUUUACUGGGUGUAAAGGGAGCGCAGACGGCAGUGCAAGUCUGGAGUGAAAGCCCGGGGCCCAACCCCGGAACUGCUCUGGAAACUGUGCGGCUAGAGUACUGGAGGGGCAGGCGGAAUUCCUAGUGUAGCGGUGAAAUGCGUAGAUAUUAGGAGGAACACCAGUGGCGAAGGCGGCCUGCUGGACAGUAACUGACGUUGAGGCUCGAAAGCGUGGGGAGCAAACAGGAUUAGAUACCCUUGUAAG